AGCCCUUUUCUAUAUGAUAAAAGUUGGCAUUGAGAUUCAAUCAUAGUUAUAGUUAUAUAGUUCAAUCCGAGAUGGCGCGCUGAAGUGCAUUAUUAACCAUUCUUUAAAUAAUUAAUUUCUUUAAAUUAAAAUAGCGAAUCUUAUUGAUAGAAUUGACACAUACUAUGUCUAGAACAAGACAGUAAAAAUGAAUUACACUUUUAUUAAACACUACCGGUACGAAAGCGCGGGCAAGAGCUAAUACUUUAAUAAAUCUUCGCGUACAAAAUAAAUAAUCCACAAAGUAAUUAACUAAGUCGUCAUCAUAAGUGCUGAAGAUUUGAUGUGUUUGAAUGUUUCAAUAACUUUGCAGCGCGAACGCAAUUGAGUUGUAAACUUGAACCGCUGAAUAUAAUUUUUGGCAAUGAACGUCAUUUCGUUUCGAGCUUGAGUUACACUUGAGUUAAAUCAAGCCGGCCUCGGCCUUCAAAAAGUUCACAUAUUUACGCAUUUCGACAUGUCGACAAUUUCAACGACCUGAUGAUUGAAAAGGUUAUUAACACGUUUAAAUUAAAACCUCAAAGAAAAGUAAAAUAAUAAUUCAAAUGAUAAGUGAAAGCAGUGAAAACGCAUCCAACAUUGAACCUUGACUUAAUAGAGAAGUGAGUCAAACCAACCAACACAUAAAGUGGAAGUUGAAGUUGAGUCAACCACAACCACGAUGAUCGCCCACAUCGUCGAGACACGAAUCUCGAAACCAACUCUGCAUACAAAAGACGACAUACGAAUUCGUUGUCUCAAUCCAUUCACUUUGGGCUUGACUCUCUUCUUCGUUGUUAAUUUUUAAUUCUCCUCCAUUCCAGUCCCUUUGUCCCUGAAAGCUCACAACCUCACCGCACAGAAUUUAAGUGAACUUAAUUCAUCAAAAACUCCAAAGUUAAGCCGUGCGCAGCGUUUGUGUGCGUUUGAGGUUAUGCGUGAUUCAUGUGUGAAAAAAAGAUGGAGCGCUUUGUUGCGUCGCCGGACGUCGCGUGGCGUUAAAUAAAUCGGAACGUCCUUGACCCUCAACCGAAAACUCGUCCACUCUCACUCUUCACAUACUCCACAAGCGUUUCAACAUGUAACACACCAGACAAGAGGCUUAAAUCACUCUCGAAGACAACACAGAGGUUAUAAAUAGUUUGCGCGUUAAAAAUGGUAUAAAUAUUGUUGUAAUGUCAUCAACAUCGACGUCAAUCAACAUGUUUCAUUGACCUUAACUCAGUAAAGGACUGAAGUUCAAGCUUUCAACAGGCAUCACAUGGAAUUUUUGUGAAUUAAAAUUCAACUCGGAUAAAAAUUUAAAUUUU